rnacentral:snoRNA from 1 species
GGCCUCCUGAUGCUUAUCACCAGGUGUCUUACACUGACCAUAAAGAAAUAGGAGGCAAAAUAAACCUACCCCAUAUACACCUUCAUCUAGGUCUGUACCUGGUCUAUGUUGUGAAUGGAGAGACAUGA